UACAGAGGUCCCGAGCGUUUGUUCGGAUUCAUUGGGCGUAAAGGGUGCGUAGGUGGCGCUGUAAGUGGGGUGUGAAAUCCCGGGGCUUAACUCCGGAACUGCAUUCCAUACUGCGGUGCUUGAGGACUGGAGAGGAGACUGGAAUUUACGGUGUAGCAGUGAAAUGCGUAGAUAUCGUAAGGAAGGCCGGUGGCGAAAGCGGCCACCUGGACGGUAACUGACGCUGAGACGCGAAAGCGUGGGGAGCAAACAGG
rnacentral:rRNA from 1 species